GAUGAACGCUGGCGGCGUGCCUAAUACAUGCAACUCAAGCGAACAGACGAGGAGCUUGCUCCUCUGACGUUAGCGGCGGACGGGUGAGUAACACGUGGAUAACCUACCUAUAAGACUGGGAUAACUUCGGGAAACCGGCGCUAAUACCGGAUAAUAUUUUGAACCGCAUGGUUCAAUAGUGAAAGACGGUCUUGCUGUCAUUUAUAGAUGGAUCCGCGCUGCAUUAGCUAGUUGGUAAGGUAACGGCUUACCAAGGCGACGAUGCAUAGCCGACCUGAGAGGGUGAUCGGCCACACUAGAGUUGGGACCCGGUCCAGACUCCUACGGGAGGCAGCAGUAGGGCAUCUUCCGCAAUGGGCGAAAGCCUGACGGAGCAACGCCGCGUGAGUUAUGAAGGUCUUCGGAUCGUAAAACUCUGUUAUUAGGGAAGAACAGAUGUGUAAGUAACUGUGCACGUCUUGACGGUACCUAAUCAGAAGGCCACGGCUAACUACGUG
rnacentral:rRNA from 1 species